rnacentral:lncRNA from 1 species
UCAAUGGAAGGUUUUGUCCUCAUCUUUCACAGGUAGCCCGGAAGUCUUCUUCUACGCUGGAAAGAAUCUUCACCGUCACCGAUGGUGAGAUAAGAAAGAGAAAGUACAGUCCGAUUGCAAAGAAGCGAAGGACAUGGGCUAUAUGACCUUGAGGAGCCUGUCGGGCUGAAGUGAAGAACGGUCGAGGCAGAAAAGUACCCCUCUUGCCGCUCGGCAUGAAUGAAGUUGAAUACCCGAUCUUCUCGGACAGAGCUUAGUCCU